AGUAGGGAAUUUUCCACAAUGGGCGAAAGCCUGAUGGAGCAACGCCGCGUGUGUGAUGAAGGCUUUCGGGUCGUAAAGCACUGUUGUAUGGGAAGAACAGCUAGAAUAGGAAAUGAUUUUAGUUUGACGGUACCAUACCAGAAAGGGAGGGCUAAAUACGUGCCAGCAGCCGCGGUAAUACGUAUGUCCCGAGCGUUAUCCGGAUUUAUUGGGCGUAAAGCGAGCGCAGACGGUUUAUUAAGUCUGAUGUGAAAGCCCGGAGCUCAACUCCGGAAUGGCAUUGGAAACUG
rnacentral:rRNA from 1 species